UCCGUAGGGUGCGAGCGUUAAUCGGAAUUGCUGGGCGUAAAGCGUGCGCAGGCGGUUUGUUAAGUCUGAUGUGAAAGCCCCGGGCUCAACCUGGGAACUGCAUUGGAAACUGGCAAGCUCGAGUAUGGCAGAGGGGGGUGGAAUUCCACGUGUAGCAGUGAAAUGCGUAGAGAUGCGGAGGAACACCGAUGGCGAAGGCAGCCCCCUGGGCCAAUACUGACGCUCAGGCACGAAAGCGUGGGGAGCAAACAGG
rnacentral:rRNA from 1 species